rnacentral:rRNA from 1 species
GAAAGUAAAUAAGGGUACACGGGGGAUGCCUUGGCUCUCAGAGGCGAUGAAAGACGUGAUAAGCUGCGAUAAGCUACGGGGAUUUGCAAAUAAGAUUUGAUCCGUAGAUUUCUGAAUGGGGAAACCUAAUUAGUUGAAGACUAAUUGCAAACAUGCGCAAACCUGCUGAACUGAAACAUCUAAGUAAGCAGAGGAAGAGAAAAUAAUAAUGAUUUCCAGAGUAGUGGCGAGCGAAAUGGAAGAAGCCCAAACCUAUAUUGUUACGGCAAUAUGGGGGUUGUAGGACCACAACAUGACUAUCAAAUAAAACCGGAAGGGGGUGGGAAACCCCGCCAUAGAGCAUGACAGCUGCGUACGGGUAAUAGAUGAUAAGAUAGUGGUAUCCUGAGUACCGCGAGGUCGGAGACGCCUUGUGGGAAUCUGCCGGCACCAUCCGGUAAGGCUAAAUACUCCUGAGAGACCGAUAGUGAACCAGUACCGUGAGGGAAAGGUGAAAAGAACCCCGAACAGGGGAGUGAAAUAGAACCUGAAACCGUGUACUUACAAGCGGUCGGAGCGGACUUGUUCCGUGACGGCGUGCCUUUUGCAUAAUGAGCCUACGAGUUACUCUUCCCUGGCAAGGUUAAGUGUUUAAGACACGGAUCCGAAGCGAAAGCGAGUCUGAAUAGGGCGUAUAGUCAGGGGAGGUAGACGCGAAACCUUGUGAUCUACCCAUGGGCAGGUUGAAGGUGCCGUAACAGGUACUGGAGGACCGAACCGAUAAACGUUGAAAAGUUUCCGGAUGACUUGUGGGUAGGGGUGAAAGGCUAAUCAAACUGGGAAAUAGCUCGUACUCCCCGAAAUGUUUUUAGGAACAGCCUGGCGGUUGAGUUAUAAAGAGGUAGAGCUACUAAUUGGGUGCGGGGGAGUCAAAUCCUACCAAAUCCAGAUAAACUCCGAAUGCUUUAUAAUAUACGCUGGAGUGAGGCUCUGGGUGCUAAGGUCCAGGGCCGAGAGGGAAAGAACCCAGACCAUCAGCUAAGGUCCCCAAAUUACUGCUAAGUUGAACUAACGAGGUCCGAUUGCACAGACAGCUAGGAUGUUGGCUUGGAAGCAGCCAUUCAUUUAAAGAGUGCGUAACAGCUCACUAGUCGAGCGAUCGGGCAUGGAUAAUAAACGGGCAUUAAGCAGUAUACCGAAGCUAUGGAUUUGCAGUAAUGCAUCUGGUAGGGGAGCAUUCUAUAUGCCGGCGAAGCAGGAGGGACAACCGACUGUGGAGGUUAUAGAAAAGCAAAUGUAGGCAUAAGUAACGAUAAGGCGGGAGAGAAACCCGCCCACCGAAAGACUAAGGUUUCCUGAUCAACGCUAAUCGGAUCAGGGUUAGUCGGGGCCUAAGGUGAAGCCGAAGGGCGUAGCCGAUGGAUAACUGGUUAAUAUUCCAGUACUUUUUAUAACUGCGAUGCGGUGACGGAGUAGUGACACUGACGCGAACUGACGGAAUAGUUCGUUAAAGGCCGUAGGUAUAGGAUUUGUAGUUAAGUACGCAGAUCUUGCUGAAAGCUGAUAGUAUACCAAAUCUUCGGAGGCGGUAAUAGUUCAGGUAAUCAGACUUCCAAGAAAACCCGCUAAGCUUCAGGUUAUAAAAACCCGUACCGUAAACCGACACAGGUAGUCGAGGAGAGAAUCCUAAGGUGCUCGAGUGAAUCAUGGCUAAGGAACUCGGCAAAAUGGCCCUGUAACUUCGGGAGAAGGGGCGCUGGUAGUAAUGCCAGCCGCAGUGAAAAGGCCCAGGCGACUGUUUAACAAAAACACAUGGCUAUGCAAAAUCGAAAGAUGACGUAUAUGGCCUGACACCUGCCCGGUGCCGGAAGGUUAAGAGGGGAUGUUAGUCGCAAGGCGAAGCAUUGAAUCGAAGCCCCGGUAAACGGCGGCCGUAACUAUAACGGUCCUAAGGUAGCGAAAUUCCUUGUCGGGUAAGUUCCGACCUGCACGAAUGGUGUAACGAUCUGGGCGCUGUCUCAGCCAUGAGCUCGGUGAAAUUGUGGUAUCGGUGAAGACGCCGGUUACCCGCAACGGGACGGAAAGACCCCAUGCACCUUCACUACAACUUAACAUUGAUAUCGGAUACAGGAUGUGUAGGAUAGGUGGGAGACUGUGAUCAUGCUUCGCCAGGAGUAUGUUAGUCAACGUUGAAAUACCACCCUUUCUGUAUUUGGUGUCUAACUCUGCAAAGCGGAGGACAUUGUUUGGCGGGUAGUUUGACUGGGGUGGUCGCCUCCAAAAAGGUAACGGAG